rnacentral:lncRNA from 1 species
UGUGGAAGGUGGUGUUGAUGUUGGAAGAGGAGGUGGAGCAGAUGGUGAAGAAGGCGCCACCCUCUUCCUCUUGGUGAUAAGGCCAUCUUCAGUCGCCUCAUCGUCUUCUUCGUCAUCCUCUUGGACCACCUGAGGGGUUUUCCUCUUUGGCUUCCUGAGGAUGAGCUUUUUGCGCUGUUGGGCGGGCUGGGCCUCUGAAGGAGUUGGGCCUUUAGGGGGCGAUCUGCCCUGGGCAGCGGCGAUCUCCACCACUGAAUUUGGCACGGUCUGGGAACCCGACGCCAACCCAUGGGCUCGGGCGAGCGCCCUCAGUUCAGCCAGUUUUCCCUUGCCCA